AAGAAUCCCAUUUGUAAAGAGGAUAGCAGGUUAAUGAAAAGAAGCAGAGGUAUGCGUAGGUGAUAGUGUUUCUACAAGGCUCGGUUCAAUUGGUAUGAUUUAAAGGCAAGCCUUGGCUGGCUGGUCAUAAUAAGGGCCACAUAAUGGAGGGGAUUUACGUGGCAAUUACCAUGGUCCUUGCUAGUGGGAUACAAUGUUUUAGGGCUCCCUGGAUACUUAAGAUUAAUGUCUGAAUCAGUAGUGUUAUUGUUGCAAGAUCUUAGUGUGAUGGGAGCCAUGUGAGGCACGAAUUUUUAUCCCUUAUCAGAAUGUAAAAUAUCUCAUAGUCUGCAAGAACACCAGUGACUAUGGCCUGAAGUUGCCCUAAGACAGUUUAAACAUCCUGUUGAUUGUUUUGUUUUUUUUUUCCUUUUCCUUGGCAACCAGAAUGCAUGAAUGAGUCUAGCGUUACUUUUGUUCAUCCAGGUAAUAUGAUUGAAAUGGGAAUUAUACAUGUUCAAUCAUUUAGAGAAGAAGGACUAAAAAUCAUAGACCUAUAGCAAAUUAAAUGAUUAUAGAGAAUCUACCAUGUAAAUGACUGCAAUUAAGGACUUCUUCAUGUACCCCGGGCCAGAUUCACAGCAUCUGGGACAAACUCUCCAUGGUUUUUCCCUCGGUGUAUUUAUUAAGAAUGAUGAUCCUGAACUUCAAGGAGACUUGGGGAAUUUUUGGAUUCCUGCCAGGUAUGUACCU
rnacentral:lncRNA from 1 species